rnacentral:rRNA from 1 species
GAGUUUGAUCCUGGCUCAGAACGAACGCUGGCGGCAGGCUUAACACAUGCAAGUCGCAGGAGAAGGAGGCUUCGGCCUCCGGGCACUGGCGGACGGGUGAGUAACGCGUGGGGACCUACCUUGAGGUGGGGGACAACCGCUGAAAACGGCGGCUAAUACCGCAUACGCCCUAUUGGGGAAAGCUCCGGCGCCCUGAGACGGCCCCGCGUCGGAUUAGCUUGUUGGUGGGGUAACGGCCUACCAAGGCGACGAUCCGUAGCUGGUCUGAGAGGAUGACCAGCCACACUGGAACUGAGACACGGUCCAGACUCCUACGGGAGGCAGCAGUGGGGAAUAUUGGACAAUGGGGGCAACCCUGAUCCAGCCAUGCCGCGUGUGUGAAGAAGGCCUUAGGGUUGUAAAACACUUUCAGCGGGGAAGAUGAUGACGGUACCCGCAGAAGAAGCCCCGGCUAACUCCGUGCCAGCAGUCGCGGUAAUACGGAGGGGGCUAGCGUUGUUCGGAAUUACUGGGCGUAAAGGGCGUGUAGGCGGUUUGCCGAGUCAGGCGUGAAAGCCCCGGGCUUAACCUGGGAACUGCGUUUGAGACUGGCAGGCUAGAGGUUGGAAGAGGAGAGUGGAAUUCCCAGUGUAGAGGUGAAAUUCGUAGAUAUUGGGAAGAACACCGGUGGCGAAGGCGGCUCUCUGGUCCACACCUGACGCUGAGGCGCGAAAGCGUGGGGAGCAAACAGGAUUAGAUACCCUGGUAGUCCACGCCG